AAAACCUAUGACAUCUUUACCACUUUUGCAUGCCUUCCAGUAAAAGCUUUGGGGGAAGAACAGGUGGGGGAGCCGUCGCUAUCGGGAUACGAUUGAAGCAAUUGAUUGUAAGGGCGUUUUAGCCAUUAUAAGUAGUAUAAAGCUAGCGUUCAAGUGCUAACAUAGGGUUUUUUUUCAUCCUCAAAUUGGCCAAGCCUUCUCGUUCGGAAAAGUACCCAGCGAGAGAUCAAAAGCAGAUAUGGCAACUGAGAAUGGAGGUCUUUUGCCUGAAGAUGUGAUCAUUAAGAUUCUCUCGUUGUUGCCUGUCAAUACUCGAUUGCAAUUCAAGUGUGUUUGCUAGUCAAGGUGCUUGAGUUGUGCCACGAUGAAUCACUCACAGACUUAUCAAGGCUGACUACGGUAGUUCUUCGAGAAGCAUCUAAACAAAAAUAACCAAAACAACUCUAUAUUAUUUUUAAUAUUUUAUGUUUAUACAUCAAGGAAAAGUACCCAGCGAGAGAUCAACAGCAGAUAUGGCAACUGCGAAUGGAGGUCUUUUGCCUAAACAUGUGAUCAUUAGUAUUGAAAUAACCUCAAAUACCUAAAGUAAAAACUUCUAUUGUCUAAAAAAACAAAAA